rnacentral:rRNA from 1 species
AACGAACGCUGGCGGCAUGCCUAACACAUGCAAGUCGAACGAGACCUUCGGGUCUAGUGGCGCACGGGUGCGUAACGCGUGGGAAUCUGCCCUUGGGUGCGGAAUAACAGUUAGAAAUGACUGCUAAUACCGCAUAAUGACUCCGGUCCAAAGAUUUAUCGCCCAAGGAUGAGCCCGCGUCGGAUUAGCUAGUUGGUGAGGUAAAAGCUCACCAAGGCGACGAUCCGUAGCUGGUCUGAGAGGAUGAUCAGCCACACUGGGACUGGGACACGGCCCAGACUCCUACGGGAGGCAGCAGUGGGGAAUAUUGGACAAUGGGCGAAAGCCUGAUCCAGCAAUGCCGCGUGAGUAAUGAAGGCCUUAGGGUUGUAAAGCUCUUUUACCCGGGAUGAUAAUGACAGUACCGGGAGAAUAAGCCCCGGCUAACUCCGUGCCAGCCGCCGCCGUAACAC